GUUGAACAUACCGCAGUCUUCUUUAUUCUAGGUAAAGACCACGGUAGGUCGCGACAAGAAGACUAAUUCAUGGUUAGACGCUAUUUAAAU
ensembl:ncRNA C56A3.13 ncRNA